AAGUGUCAGAUGUGUUCUGCGAGGUCCUGCAAACAUACUGGCAAAUUGAGAUGCUCAAGUUAGAUGCUCAUCUGAUGUUGUUGUGUUGCUGAGUCAUCAAGGAUCCAGCUUAUUAUUGAAACAUUGGACAGUACAGAAAGCACACAAGUGGGAGAGAGUGGAGGGGACGGCGUCAGAAAGGACCUAGGGCUGGGACUCUUUCAAGGAUCACCUGAAGCACAACCACACUAUAUGCACGAGGCUGUUGGUUCUAACAUUUUAGGUUCACCUUUGGUAGAAAUCACAUUCCGCGUUCCCUGCGGUAAAAAAAGACACAGUCCGGGGGGGUUCCCGUUAGAAAUGCCCCCCCCCCAAACCCCCCCCCCCCGGGGUCCCCCCUCUAACGCUGGUUCCUUGGAAUUGUCCUAACCUUCCCUGCCCUUACAGCGUCCCUGGUUGCCGGUUCCAUUCUCGAACUGUUCAACACAUUUUCACUGCACAAAUGUACACAUCUCUUGUAAUGAGACACAUUACUAAAACAUGUUUUUUACAGAAACUGUAGUUUUCCACCAAAAUAAAAGAUCAGCUGGUUUCAGUCAUAAAGGUACAAGGGUUUCUCUUGCAAGUGCCACACAAAAUAUGCAUUUAUAUGCAAAAAUAUGCCAAAUUAUUUUACAAAAACCUUUCAAUAUUAUUGUAUUUGAAUUGUUCUUCUACGUGUUUUUAACAAUACAUCCAUGCAUACUCUGCAAAAUAAAGUUUGGG
ensembl:lncRNA